UCACCAGGGUGCACAGAGUCAGCAAAGCUGAGACCUUUCCCACCUUUGCAGAGCGGCACUCUCCAUGUUUUUUGGUGGUGGUGGCUUUCCCAUCCCUUUACGGCCAUUUGUAAUGGCUUCCAACUAUUCCAGCAAGACAAUGAGCGCCCUUUUCUUUAUUCUUCUAUUGUAUGGUAAAAAACUGGUGUCCAAAGUUGCACUGACAUAAAUAUUGCCCAAUUAGCCUAUUUGGGUGUAAACUUUUCCCAUUUUCUGGAUUAUUUCCAAAGGGUAUACUCUCCAAGUUGGCAGGGUCAGAGGGAUGAACAUUUUACACCUUGACUGCUUUUGUGAGCUUUUGUUUUUGUACUGGCUCUUGAUGCGAUUCAUCCCCAAGGAGCUUGACUUGACUGCUUAGCAAGUAAGGCAAAAACAGGAAGAAGAGGAGCAGGCCCUUGCCGGCCAAGUAUAACUCCGCCAUUCAUUGAGACCCAUGAUCCAGUCUUCUAAUUCCACUUCAGGGUUUGGGUGGCAAACAAGUUUUUGAGAAUGGUGAUAUUGUAAAAAGAAUUAUUGAAGAGAAUGCUGACUUGGGGUCAAAUGUAUGAGAGGGAGCAGAUGAAGUUAGGAGAGAGUCGUGGCAGGGGGGUGACAAGGUAGAGGCCAGCCUUUGAAACUUAGAAAGACUCUCAAAAACCACUGGAUAGAGCCCAGUGGUGGACGCCAGUUUAACCCCCAGUGCAGGCAGGAGGGGAGGGUGAUAAGAAUGACUCUGGAUGGUGUAUUGAAACUCAGAAUGUUAAAUCAUUUGUUUUGGGGAAUUAGUGAACUUUAUAACUAAUGUUUGCUCACCACUGAGUUCUGACCCAACUUAAGUUUAAGUGGCGCUGACUUGGCCUACCUUGGGAUUUAAGGGCUGGGGAGCUGGGUGUGAUGGUGCACACCUGUAAUCCCAGCAGCUCAGGAGGCUGAGUAAGGAGGAUUGCAAAUUCAAAACCAGCCUCAGCAAAAGUGAGGCGCAAAACAACUCAGUGAGACCCUGUCUCUAAAUACAAAAAAGGGCUGGGGAUGUGGCUCAGUGGUUGAGUGCCCCUGAGUUCAAUCCCCAGUGCUAAGAAAAAAAGAGGCACUGCUGGCUCAGUGGUUAAGCACCCCUGGGUUCAGUUCACAGUACUAAAAACAAAAACAAGCCAUUGAUAAGUGUGAGAACUACUUCUACAAGUCCACCC
rnacentral:lncRNA from 1 species